UUUCCGCACUAUAAGGCGCACUUAAAAAACCUUUAAGCGAGCGUGUCUUAUAACCCGGUGCGACUUAUGUAUUACUUCUGGUUGCGAUUACUGAGCUCGAACUGAUUUUAUAAAGCCAAAUUUUUUUAAAAAAUUGAUCAGGUUAAGAAACUCAGCUGCAUGGACUUUAUUAACCCUUGUGUUGUCUUUUAGGUCUAGGUGACACUGUGGCUGAUAAUAGACCUUUGUGUGUGUGUGUGUGGUCUUGUACUGCAUGGCUUGUGCCAAGAUGCAAACCUGUUGCAAGGACGCUGGGUGUGUACAAAAUGCGAAGGACAUCAGGCGGGGUUUGUUAAGCUCCACUGGGCCAUGCAAAAUGACUUAGUGGGCCGCGUUUUGGCCCCCGGGCCUUGACUUUGUCACAUGGUCUAGAUUAAGGUUGAAACUGGAGAUUGUUUUUACUUUUUAGUAACAGUAUUUAUUUAUCUUUAGCAUGUCUUUUAUUUACCUCAGGGGAUCAAAUUAGCCUGUUUUCUAAAGGUUUCACUCGUUGCACGACAAACCCUCCACUUGGGUUUUCUCCGUGGGAGGUACUGCGAAAACAUUGGAUACAUAUCUGAUUCAACACCACGUGAGAGUGCACGUGGGUCGGAUUUCGGAAUAUCUGAUAUGUGCCCUUCACAAUGUCAUCGAAAUGAAAUCAGAUAGAGUUAGCUUUGCCUGCAGUUGGCACGUAGCCUAAGUGACGUCCCAAGAAAAAUUCCAGCAUUUCAGAAAAUGUCUUAAUUUCCAACCUAAAAAAACCACAUUAAUCCCAUUCUGCCCUCUACUGUUACCUAGAAAGCAGUUAGACGUCCAUUUUUCCCCUGUCCAUUUUUUUUUACCUCUAAUUGUUUCCACUACCUGAUUGCAUUCGCUGUGUGCAGACAGUCCAGAAAGUACAAACAAGAACAUUACCAUUUUCUGUUUGACUUUCUGACUUGAGCUCAAUUCCCCCCCCCAGGUCGUUUCGAUGUCAGGGAGGCUUGUGAUCCUUCUGUGUCAGAGUUUAAUAAAAAAGAUUGAACGCUGGUGUGAAGCUAAUGAGGCAGCAGUGAAUUUGCCUCUCACCUUGACUCUUGGAAAUGAGGUGCAUCACAACUUUACAGAGUCAUAACUGGGAGCCACAGUGGCUGUAGCUCAAACAGUAAAACUUUUUCCAAACGAUAUGCACGGCUAUGCACUGGGGAUAUAUUAUUUGAACUACUUAGGUGUUUAUUCCUCAUUUAAUCCAGCUUUUCCCCCCACCACUAUUUAUUUAUCCCUCACGCCUUGUGCGUAAUGUUUAACUCCUUUUUACUUACGGUGACUUAUUAUGGCUAGUUUCUACGUGGGCGUUGAUUUGAGCAUAAAAUGUCACUGUUUGGUUAAGUCCCAGAUACAAACAGGGGUAAAGAUGUAAACAGAUGUGUGUUUCAUGAUUAGUUGUCAUCAUUGAUAAUUGCGAUUUAUUGGGAUUACUCAAGAUUAAUCAUGGUUACUCAAGAAUAAUUGUGAUAUAUUACAAUUACUUACAAUUAAUCCACAGCUAACCUGUGAUUAAUAAGAUUAAUAAACGUUUGGAACCCCUACUUAUGACAUAAAUUCCACCUCUCUUUGAUUGGCUGUGAUCAUCAUUAAUAAUUGCGAUUAGUUGUGAUUAUUCGAGAUUACUCUAGACUCGUUCCGAUUAAUUCCGAUUAAUUGCGAUUAAUUACAUUUAAUCCACAGCUAACCUUGGAUUAAUAAAAUGAAUAAAUGUUUGGAAGCCCUAACUAUGACACAUAUUUCACCUUUGUUUCUCGACUGUUUGGAUCGACAGCAGCCACUUUGUUUCUUCUUUCAGUUCCUCUUCAGUCGUAUUACGUUGAAUUGUCAUUUCGAAACACUGUUUUUGAAGGGUUUUUUUGUUGUUGUUGUUGUUACAAUUUCCUUCAAAAGUGCUUCCUGGAAUUGUGAGAAGAAGUUGAAUCAUCGCCGGUUCUACAAGUUGACUGAUAGCGUUCACUCCAAAUGAAAACGAACACACAAUUUGCAAAAGUCAGCUCUCAGCUGGUCGAUUCAGCGGGCGAAAAAAAUUAGUCAUUUCUGAGUCAGAGUCAUUUACAGUCUGUGGCUUCGUGGAAAGAGGCUCUUCUCUGGAGCGAAAAGUACCGCUGCCCGAUGACGCUGUUGCACCGAUGCAUUCGAACGCCACUAAUUCAACACCCAGCAUGCCCGCGGGCUCUCAGAAGGACAGUAUUGAGUCAUACCCAUUUGUAAAGCCCGUCUUCCUGCCUCCACACAGAUCGCAAACGGGUCAAAGUGAGGCCGCCUGUCCGCGAAACACAUUGUUUUGAAAAAACACUACUUACCCAGAAAUACCCGAUGCCAAACUGCACUUUGUCAAAAGAAAAGUGUGUGUGUGUGUGUGUGUAUACCUGUGUAGGUGUAUUUUGUAGACAAAUACGUACCGUACAGUAAGUGUGUGAUCACGGUGUAAUGCGAACAUGUGUGAAAAUGAGUCACCAGCAUAUGAUUAAUGUGGUUUAUGUGUUUCUGGAGUUUGUCCAUUGAUUUGCAGUUCAGUGCUUUAUAUAAAACAAACAAAAGAAGAAAAAAAAACAAGAAACAAAACAACUCGUCGAGCAGACAACAAAGAUGUCCUGCUAUUGAACCAUAUAUACGAGAAUAAACAUAAUACAUACAAAAUCUUACUAAUAUGCAAUUAACUCAAGUGAUUUCUUUUAAGCUGACGUUGCCAUCGAUUGUGAUGCCAUCCAUCAUUACGUUCUACUUUUCUUUUUCUUUUUUUUUAAU